rnacentral:rRNA from 1 species
AGCGAACGCUGGCGGCAGGCCUAACACAUGCAAGUCGAACGAACCCUUCGGGGUUAGUGGCGGACGGGUGAGUAACACGUGGGAACGUGCCUUUAGGUUCGGAAUAACUCAGGGAAACUUGUGCUAAUACCGAAUGUGCCCUUCGGGGGAAAGAUUUAUCGCCUUUAGAGCGGCCCGCGUCUGAUUAGCUAGUUGGUGAGGUAAUGGCUCACCAAGGCUACGAUCAGUAGCUGGUCUGAGAGGAUGACCAGCCACAUUGGGACUGAGACACGGCACAAACUCCUACGGGAGGCAGCAGUGGGGAAUCUUGCGCAAUGGGCGAAAGCCUGACGCAGCCAUGCCGCGUGGAUGAUGAAGGUCUUAGGAUUGUAAAAUCCUUUCACCGGUGAAGAUAAUGACUGUAGCCGGAGAAGAAGCCCCGGCUAACUUCGUGCCAGCCGCCGCUGUAA